rnacentral:rRNA from 1 species
UGGGGAAUGUCAAGUCAGCGGUAAAAUUUCGGGGCUCAACCCCGUCGUGCCGUUGAAACUGGCGUUCUUGAGUGAGCGAGAAGUAUGCGGAAUGCGUGGUGUAGCGGUGAAAUGCGUAGAUAUUAGGAGGAACACCAGUGGCGAAGGCGGCUUACUGGACUGUAACUGACGCUCAUGCACGUAAGCGUGGGUAUCGAACAGG